rnacentral:rRNA from 1 species
GGCUUCGGCUGUCACCUUAUGGAUGGACCCGCGUCGCAUCAGCUAGUUGGUGAGGUAACGGCUCACCAAGGCAACGAUGCGUAGCCGACCCGAGAGGGUGAUCGGCCACACUGUGAAUGAGACACGGCCCAGACUCCUACGGGAGGCAGCAGUAGGGAAUCUUCCGCAAUGGACGAAAGUCUGACGGAGCAACGCCGCGUGAGUGAUGAAGGCUUUCGGGUCGUAAAACUCUGUUGUUAGGGAAGAACAAGUGCUAGUUGAAUAAGCUGGCACCUUGACGGUACCUAACCAGAAAGCCACGGCUAACUACGUGCCAGCAGCCGCGGUAAUACGUAGGUGGCAAGCGUUAUCCGGAAUUAUUGGGCGUAAAGCGCGCGCAGGUGGUUUCUUAAGUCUGAUGUGAAAGCCCACGGCUCAACCGUGGAGGGUCAUUGGAAACUGGGAGACUUGAGUGCAGAAGAGGAAAGUGGAAUUCCAUGUGUAGCGGUGAAAUGCGUAGAGAUAUGGAGGAACACCAGUGGCGAAGGCGACUUUCUGGUCUGUAACUGACACUGAGGUCGCGAAAGCGUGGGGAGCAAACAGGAUUAGAUACCCUGGUAGUCCACGCCGUAAACGAUGAGUGCUAAGUGUUAGAGGGUUUCCGCCCUUUAGUGCUGAAGUUAACGCAUAA